rnacentral:rRNA from 1 species
UGAAUAGAGGGGGAGAGGGCAGGGGUAAGUGGAAGGGGUAGAGCGUAAAACGUAAUGAGUGGACGUAAAGCGGGCGUGGGCGGUGAUAUAAGUCGGCUGGGGAAUGCACGGGCGGAGACGGGGAAUGGAAGUGGAUACUGGGGAGCGAGAGGGUGAUGGAGGAUGGGCGAAUUCCCGGUGUAGCGGUGAAAUGCGUAGAGAUCGGGAGGAACAUCAGUGGCGAAGGCGGCCAUCUGGAUCAACACUGACGCUGAGGCACGAAAGCGUGGGGAGCAAACAGGAGUAGAUACCCGUGUAGUC